UACAGAGGUCCCAAGCGUUGUUCGGAUUCACUGGGCGUAAAGGGUGCGUAGGCGGUCGGGUAAGUCUGAUGUGAAAUCUCACAGCUUAACUGUGAAACUGCAUUGGAUACUAUCCGGCUCGAGGAAUGGAGGGGAGACUGGAAUACUUGGUGUAGCAGUGAAAUGCGUAGAUAUCGGGAGGAACACCAGUGGCGAAGGCGAUCACCUGGGGUUGUUCUGACGCUGAGGAGCGAAAGCUAGGGGAGCAAACGGG
rnacentral:rRNA from 1 species